AAAAUUACAGUCGCGGAAAAAGAUUCGGCGAUAAGUUUUGGAAAUGUCUUAAGACGGACUUUUAUUCCGUAGGUUUUCUGUUUUUACAAGUUUUGUUCGUCGCGGCGCGCGAGAGCUGUGAGGCGUGAGAAGGAAAAUAUCUAGAUAUUUAUUUUAGAUUGCCAGUUGGCCAAGUAUUUGAUCCAAGGGCUAGGAUUUAAUCAUGGCUUUAGUGCACUAUUUGAUCCAAGGGCCUAGAAUGAUUCAUGAUUAGCUUUAAAUAGGCAAAAGCCAUGAGAACCCAACUCCCUUCCCUUCUUCCUCUCAUAACCGUAGCUCUCUCUCCACCCCUUAGAAAAUUUAUUUCUUUGUGUUGGUAAGAAACAAGAUGGAAGAAACUCAUUUUUUAUCAAGAUUCUUAAAUGAUUUUGGAGAAGUUGAUAGAAGGAAAAAGCUUGGUCUUGCUCUUAUGAUUCUAGUGACACUAGCUAAGGUUAAGAGCGUUAACCGAGACUGUGGGACUUCGUCGUGAGCGACGGUUUUCGUGCGCGUAGAGUGUGUUGAUUUUUGUUGGAAGCUUUGCCGAGACGAUGGAGCGCCAUCUGAGACCGUAGGCCGUGUGGACGGC